rnacentral:misc_RNA from 1 species
UUUUAAUUAAUGCUUUAAUCUAAUGAAAAGAGUGAGAAUUUCUAAGAAAUGGAAUUCCACACAUAAAAAAAAUUUCUUCACUAUAGCAUUGAAGAAAAAAAAAAAAUUAUAAACUUGUUUAUACUGAUUGUUUGCACAUGUAUAUCAUUAUAUUUCUUCAGUGGCAUCUCUUUGAAGAAGAGGAUCUUUUAGGCUGGAUGAUUGGGAGCUACAAGGUUGAAUAUUCAAAGCCAUAGCCAUGUUCCUCUCUUUCAUUUGUCCCCACAUGACACUGUAAAAUCCAAGUGCAAUGAUGAUAGAUCCAACCACACUGCAAUCAAACAUCAUAUUAAACCAUUAUUUCUUAAAAAAUUCAACCUCAUAUAUGGCCCCAUUUCACAUUUUAAACUUUUUUUUCCCUUCCUAUAGAUGUUGAAAAUAGAGGGAGUAGGACAACACAUACCUGCCAAGAUAAAGGGUGUCACCUAGGAAUGUUACUGUCAUGAACACUGCAAUGGCAAUUCCCAAGGGCUUGAACAUGCCUACAUAUACAGGUCCCUUCUUGCGCAAGCACCAUGUGUGAAUAGCUAUGCGAAACAGACUCCCAAAUACAGCCUAAAAUCACUUCAAAUCAAUAAUUAUUUAUAACCCAAAUCACCAUUUCCAACAAAUGUCAAAACUUGGAGGUAAAUUCAAGCUGUUUAAUGUAAUUGUUGAAGCAGCUUUUUUAAAAUACCAUCAGUUAGCAUCAAGUAGAUAGCAUAUUUGGAAAUUAUCAAGCGUGCUGACUUAGCUGUAUAAAACAAGAACAAGCAUGGGGAAUCGGGCUUUCUAGUUCUUCUUACCGUGUAUACAAUGGCUAUAAUUUCAAUGGUAGAAUUCAGUCUCCAGGCAUUUGGAUUUCUUUCCAAAAUGAGUGAGAAGAUGGCACUUUGGAUCGUGAUAAAGAAGGUGAAGAAGAAGACAAUGGUCAUUUCUUCUGGGUACUGCUUCACAGUGGCUCCCUGGGCAACGGUCCAUGUUGCAGACAAAACGCAAACGAUUAAAAGGAGAAAGCCUCCUAAGAUCCAAUCUGAUUUCUGCGAGAGAAGAAGUUGAUCAUGGUGAAAGUUAGAAGUUAGACUCUUCAAGACUGCAGGACCUUUAUAGAGGGUCACUAUGAAUGCUCCUGUUACUGAAACAAUAGCCCCCGCAGAUUUAGCUUGGCUGCUUGAUCUUCUUAAAUCUAGAGUUUCCAUCCUUGUAAUUAGUGCAAGCAGGAAAGUGAAAAUGGGGAUAAGAUUGGCCAUUGCAGAUGAAAGAGUAGGGGAACUCAAUUUGACAGCAGUUAGAAACAAUAUUUGUCCAGUACUCCCAUUUAAGGCAAGAAGGAAGAAUAUAACCAAAAGUGAGAGAGUGAUAGGAGCUCUCUUCUUCCUGUGGAAGAUGAAAUAAGGAAGAAGGAUGAGAGUAGCAAGGGCAUUGUAGUAAACAACUGAAACAUAUUUGCUCAUUCCUUGUGCCAAAGCAGCUUUACUAAUUGUUGAUACACCCACAUCUGUGCACUCCACUGCUAUCAUUGCAGCAAAGGGUGCUAAAUUCCAUAUCCGAGAAGCCAGCUCCAUUUUUUUACAGCAAAUUCUGGAAUUCUGAUGAAUGGGACUAUGAGAGCACAAAUAAUGAAAGAUUUUUUUCCCCCCUUCUCUGCCUCCUUUCUCAACAAGAGUCCAUCACCGAGCCACUUGGUAGUCUUCCUCAUAAAUCACUACAUUAUGACAGAAUCAAAGACAAUCAUUAAAGUUCGCAUAAAAAAAAUAGAAAACUGAAGCAACUUGCAAUAAGAAAAGAGAAUGGGUUUCAUUUAAAAAAAAAAAAAAAGGUAAAUUUCUAUUAAAUGUAUAAUCAAAGCUCUCACACGGUGAGUAUUUUUGAACCAUUUUCAUUUAAUAGCGAUGAGAUCUGAGUCAUAUAUCCUGAAUUUCACUUGACCGUAUCUGUCUAAUUAUCAUGGUAUUUAUUGUCCUUAUGUUGCUGAAUUCAUAAGCUGCUGUUAUUUUAACUCGUAGCGGUGCAAGAGACCUGGAGAACACUGAGCUCUUGAAGGUAUGCAAUCAUAACUUUUUCUUUUCAGUUAUAUGUGUCGUAACUUAAAUGUAUGAACUACUUAAAAAAGCAAGGGAAAAAAAAGUGAUUGAAGGAAAUUCCUUACAAUCUUGUUUUCAAGCUCGAACAGCUUUUUACAAGAACAAUUUAUUUGCUUUUGAGCCUAAAAAUUUCUAUGGCCUGAUACCUCAUUUAAAAGCCAGUUACACCAUUGCUGCCGUGCACAAACUAACUAUGAGUUGGCAUAUAUUUUAGAAUGUGACAUUUGUUAAUUCCUUCUUAACAAGUGAAGUGCAAAAAAGUUUUUUCCUUUCUUUAAUUAUUUUUUAACUGGGUCACUGGCUCGCUGCAUAAAAUUACCAUUCUUAGUAUUGGUUGUUGAGAGCUGGGCGAGUCUAUUCAACAACUUGAAGCCACUUGUACUGUAGAGCCAGCUUCCAUGAGUUGAAGAACAUUUGCUGGCCCUUGCAUGCAGAAUUCACUUUAUGUCUCAUUUUAUUGAUUAGAGGACCCAACCAGCUGUGAAGGUCAGGAAGAUGUGACAAGUUGAAUGGAUUUAGUGUUGCGAGACACAGGAUUCUGUUGUUUAACUGUCAACAUGAGGGUUUAUUGCAAACAUGCACAUGUAGCUUGGUUUGUUUAAUUUUAAAAUAAUAAAUUAAUUAAAAA